UAUUUAUUAGAUAACGGACCAAUAUUCCUCGUGUCUAUUGUGGUGACUCAUAGUAACUGAUCGGAUCGCAUGGCCUUGUGCCGCGACUAACCAUUCAAGUUUCUGACCCAUCAGCUUUCGAUGGUAGUGUAUUGGACUACCAUGGCUUUCACGGGUAACGGAGGAUUAGGGUUCGAUUCCGGAGAGGGAGCCUGAGAAACGGCUACCACAUCUAAGGAAGGCAGCAGGCGCGUAAAUUACCCAAUCCUGACUCAGGGAGGUAGUGACAAGAAAUAACGGGUCGGGGCAUUCGCCUCGGGAUUGCAAUGAAUCGAAUUUACACCCCUUAAUGAGGAUCAAUUGGAGGGCAAGUCUGGUGCCAGCAGCCGCGGUAAUUCCAGCUCCAAUAGCGUAUAUUAAAGUUGUUGCAGUUAAAAAGCUCGUAGUUUGAUUUCUGGACGGGCGCCAACACCCGCUUGUUUAGUGUGGAGGCGGCGCCCGCCCAUCCUUCUGUUAACGCCACCGGCAUUCAUUUGCUGGCGGCGGGCUCAGAUAUUUUACCUUGAGAAAAUUAGAGUGUUUCAGGCAGGCUUGCGC
rnacentral:rRNA from 1 species